UGUAGCUGCUGGGCCCUGGCCUCCAGCCGAGCCGAUGCCGACGCGUCUUCCCCCGCGCCGGACCGGUCCGGAUGGGGACCAGGACCCAGCAGCCCGAGCAG
rfam:Janibacter melonis strain CD11-4 contig_3, whole genome shotgun sequence.